UGUCACCUGGUGGACAACAAGUUGAACAUGAGUCAGCAGUGUGCCUUUGCAGGAAAGAAAGCCAACUGCAUCCUGCUCUCUGUGAGUAAGAGUGUAGCCAGCAAAGGCCCAGAAGUGAUCCUGCCCUUCUAUUCAUUGUAGGAUUGCAUCUGGAACACUGUGUCCAGUUUUGGGCUUCCCAGGACAAAAAAGAUACUGGCAUACCAGAGUGACCACCAAGAUGGUCAGGGGAUGAGCCCUGGAGGUUCCUUCCAACUUAAAUUAUGAUUUUAUACUGUCCAGAAAGGGUUGCAGUCAUUGACCUACUAAUAGUGAGACCAGAUUCCAGAGGGUAAUGAGCCCUACCUUCCCUUUCUCAGUCUUUGAAUGUAAUAGAUACGCAAAGGAAAUCUAGCAAAUUGCCAAACUGUAUUGUGCAUACACAGCAGUUCCCAUUUUGCCCCAUCAUCUCAAAGGUCUGGAGAAAAGAGAGCAGCCAGAAGUAAAUUAGAGACUGAAACAGAAUUUGUUUCGCUUUGGCUUCCAACUUUGGUCCUCUGAUUGCAUCUCAUUAUAAGACUAAAGAUUAUAAGUACUCCUAGGUAUGUUUUGUAGCUUAUCUGUUUCUCACAGAUGGAGUUGUACUUUCUUAUUCCCUGCCUUUGCCUGACAAUGAAGUAAAUACACUUCAAUAUACUUCUGAAGUUUCAUUUUUUUUCUUUUUUGACUUAACCCCAUCAACUCUCUAUGUACACCUGGGUCACUUACAUAUCACAAAUGUGUUACAGCACACAGCAAGCUGACAGCUGCCAGAAUUCCUAAGUAGAGCUUUCAUUUUCAUUACCAGUAAGUGAACUAUUCCUUGGGUCUUUUAUUAAGGUCAGUCUGAUUCAAUAACCUACAACUUCCUUGGAGAAAAUAACUUCUUUAUUGCUUUUAACUGGAUAUGUACCGAAAGAAAGAUCAAGGUGACUGUACUUGAUUACAUUUUAGGAACCAACAGCAGAAAUAUUAUUAUGUAUGUCUUUGUUAAACUGAUACUAAGACUUCUGUUGCUCAUUGGUCUUUCUCAAAAGCAUUAUUUAACUUGAAUUAGUGAUUCACCUAGAUUCACCUAGUCUGCUUAGACAGACAAUCAGAAGCUGAAUGUCUUAACUUUUAUAAACCCUUUGGUUUUGCAAAACUGGGUAAGAAUGUUAAAAGCUUUCCCUUCCCUCCAAAAAGCAUAGUCACAGAUGUGCAUGUAAGCACACAGAUCACACUGAAAAAAAUUCUUUAGUCGGAAGACUUCAGUGUCCAAACAGCUUUCCUUCUAAUUUGUCAGCACUGACAGUACCAAGUGAGGUUGAAAAGUGCAAAGACUCUGAACAACAAAAAAUAAGACAGUGAUGGUCACUGCAACUUCUGAGUCCCAGAAAUGGUUUCCCUCAAUGCUUCCUGUUGUGAACACAGUGCUAUCUAAAACAUACACAGAACUAGGUUAGAUUAUACAUAUUCAUUUAUAACAGUUAAAAAAAAUAAUUAACAGCCUUUGCUGCAUAAAGUCCUCUGGAUUUUCUGUCUCAUUCUGCAGAGCUUGAAGUCGUUCCGCCCAACAUUCCACUUCAAUUCUGACCGGAAUCAUACGGAAAUUAUUCCUCCAUUUGGCUCUGUUAUCAAAAUCCAUCCAAUCAGAGCUAAAUAAGUUUACCAGAACCAUGCUUCCUGAGGCCAGAGAUCUGGCCUAGAACAACAGAUGUGCUCUGGCAACAAAUUGAUGCUGAGGAAUCAAGUAAAAGCUAAGUGGAGCUGCUCUGUGCUCAGACAGUUCUGAGCUGGUCUAGGGGAAAGGAUUCUGUUCUUUCCUUUUCCCCAACCAACAUGGCAAGUACUAACUACACCUCUUUGCUUAAAGAUGAAAUCCCAUUCCCACUCCUCCUCCUCCCAAUACUUUGUUUCCUCAGUUUUUCAUGCUGAGGUUUGGGAGGAAUGAGAUCCUCUGAUGUCUGCAGUCCAUUGUUGCUUAAGAUGCAUAAGAAAUUACUAACUUCAAACACUUUUUUAUACACAUUUUAGGUAUUGGAGAGCAGAAUUGUGAUAGAAACAAUUCAGUUCAGCAAAACAACACUUAAAGUAUCUCCAGUGAUCACUGAAGUAUCUGCUGCUGCCUCUUUCUCUGUACCACCUAAUAACUGCUCAGAGAACAGCUUCUCUCCAUCCCAUCAUCUGCUGCAGCUCUGACCAGGUAGAGCGCAGUUCCUUGUACAAAAGGAAAAACUGUCUGUUGGCUCCCGUUUCCUGUACUCCUGGACUGCAGCUUCAAAUCUAGUCAAUACUUGGUUGGAAGCCUAUCUGCUUUAGAAGUUUGUUUCACAGCGAAGUUGGACAUGAAACAACACAGCGCUCUGCUUCCCAUGGACUCCCAGAUUCUCUUUCAUCACAGCAGAAAUGUUCCUUAGAGCAUGCAUGCGCUUGCAUUGCUUCCACUCGAAGCCGGCCCUGUUUCUAAGCAUAGUUUGCCAUCUUCAAAUACAGAACCUUCAGAUUAGCAACUGCUCACACCUAACCAGUUUUGAGGGUGUAUGAGAAAAGAAUGGAUUUUUGAAAAAAGAAUUUUCAGGCAUACGUUGUGCAAGGCAAAGAUCAGAAGGCCACAUCUUUCAUUCAGAGGGAGAUGUUUCAUCUUUGAAGUUAACGAGGUAAAUUAAAUGAACUGGACUGGAUUCUCUACUAUAUCUGAUCUUCAGAUAAACAAGGGUCAGAGGCAUUUCACAUGUGAUUAUCCAUACUGGUAUACAUGUGAGCAUCCCCUAACCUGAUGUUAUCAUCUGAUUUCAUGACCUGAUGUUUUUAUCUCUUAAUCUUUUAUGAAACUAAUAUAUGAAAACUACCUUAAAACAUUCAGAAUGUUCCCAGGGACAGCGAUAGAGUAAACAAUGACAUUGUACAAUUGUUAAAUGACUUAUAUAUCAUUUAACAUAACACACAAUUCACACAGGGCUGUACUUUAGACAGUAUUUGACACACAGAACAACAACUUAUUACUGAGCUUCUCAGUUGUCAUAUCCUUAUGCUCCUGCUGUUACGCCAUCUUGUGUCAAGUGGCAAAACAUGAAACCCCUUUGCUGUACAUAGGACAGUCAUCCAAAAAAAUCAGUACAACAUCAGUAUAAGAAAAAGAACAGUCCAGCUCCAGAGAGGAAAAAGCUGACAAAUAUGGAAUAAUAGUAUAAGCACAAAAAACUUCUUUAAAUAAUUACUUGUAGCAAAUGUAGCAAUAAACAAGUACAAAAAUCAAGGGAAUACUAAA